UGGGGAAUAUUGCACAAUGGGCGCAAGCCUGAUGCAGCCAUGCCGCGUGUGUGAAGAAGGCCUUCGGGUUGUAAAGCACUUUCAGCGAGGAGGAAGGGUAGUGUGUUAAUAGCACAUUGCAUUGACGUUACUCGCAGAAGAAGCACCGGCUAACUCCGUGCCAGCAGCCGCGGUAAUACGGAGGGUGCAAGCGUUAAUCGGAAUUACUGGGCGUAAAGCGCACGCAGGCGGUUUGUUAAGUCAGAUGUGAAAUCCCCGCGCUUAACGUGGAACUGCAUUUGAAACUGGCAAGCUAGAGUCUUGUAGAGGGGGGUAGAAUUCCAGGUGUAGCGGUGAAAUGCGUAGAGAUCUGGAGGAAUACCGGUGGCGAAGGCGGCCCCCUGGACAAAGACUGACGCUCAGGUGCGAAAGCGUGGGGAGCAAAACAGGAUUAGAUACC
rnacentral:rRNA from 1 species